rnacentral:pre_miRNA from 1 species
UCUUCAUUUUACACACUCUCUCGCUUUUCUGACCCGUGAGAUAGUGUGAAGAAUGAAGAGA